AUUUUGUUAGUUUAAAAAAACAAUGAUUUGUGGAAUCAUCAUAGUAUUAAUUAACUAAUACACAAAAUA
rnacentral:tRNA from 1 species